rnacentral:rRNA from 1 species
GAGUUUGAUCUUGGCUCAGAUUGAACGCUGGCGACAUGCCUUACACAUGCAAGUCGAACGGCAGCACGGGAGCUUGCUCCUGGUGGCGAGUGGCGAACGGGUGAGUAAUGCAUCGGAACGUAUCCUGGAGUGGGGGAUAACGUAGCGAAAGUUACGCUAAUACCGCAUAUUCUGUGAGCAGGAAAGCGGGGGACCUUCGGGCCUCGCGCUCUUGGAGCGGCCGAUGUCGGAUUAGCUAGUUGGUGAGGUAAAGGCUCACCAAGGCGACGAUCCAUAGCAGGUCUGAGAGGAUGGUCUGCCACACUGGAACUGAGACACGGUCCAGACUCCUACGGGAGGCAGCAGUGGGGAAUUUUGGACAAUGGGGGCAACCCUGAUCCAGCCAUGCCGCGUGAGUGAAGAAGGCC